UUUCUUUCUUUCUCUCUUAUUUCUUUUGUAAGAAAAAAUGAAUUAAUGUUGUAUGUUUUUUGUUUUCCAGUUUAUUUUACAAUUGUUUAAUCGCCUUUUUCAAUUAUUAGUCCAAAUCUCAAGUUUAAUCAACACCAUUGUGAUCCUCUCAUUCAAAUGUUAGCAACAACAUGGCCGAUAGAAGAAAACUUCAAGGUGAGAUCGAGCGAUGCCAUAAGAAAGUUCAAGAAGGAGUGGAAACCUUUGAGGAUUUGUGGCACAAAGCUCACAAUGCCCCUAACUCUAAUCAAAAAGAAAAAUAUGAAGCUGAUCUCAAGAAAGAAAUUAAAAAGCUUCAGAGACUCCGAGACCAGAUUAAAUCAUGGAUUGCCUCUAGUGAGAUUAAGGAUAAAAGAUUACUCUUGGACGAUAGGAAACUCAUAGAGACUCAAAUGGAAAGGUUUAAAGUUUUAGAGAGGGAGACCAAAACUAAGGCUUAUUCUAAAGAAGGCCUGGGAGCAGCGCAAAAAUUAGAUCCAGCACAAAGAGAAAAGGAUGAAAUUACAAAUUGGAUGUCCGAUUCAAUAGCUGCACUCAAGAUCCAAAUAGAUCAAUUCGAAUGUGAGAUUGAAGCCAUCAUGGCUGCUUUAAAAAAGAAAAAGAAUGAUAAAGAAAAACAGGAUCGUAAUGAGGAAUUAAAGAAUUGGUUAGAAAAACAUCGGUACCAUAUUAAUCAGUUAGAAACUCUUAUGAGAAUGUUGGAUAAUAGUACAGUGGACGUGGAUCAGAUUAAAAAGAUUAAAGAUGACAUUGAAUAUUAUAUUGAAUCUUCACAAGAUCCUGAUUUUGAGGAGAAUGAAUAUAUUUAUGAAGACUUAGAAUUGGAUGACAUGCAAGAAUACCUGGCCAAGAGUAGAGCAGCCCUUGCGAAUCAUACAUCUUCAUUCGAUAGUGGAACAACUAAAACAACAAAUUCUUCUAAUGCCACUGGUGAUGAAGAAGGAAACAAUUCAGUUCAUUCUUAUACACCAACAUCAACUUCAAGUUCACCUGCUCCCAGUCCAGGAUUGACCAAUCAUUCCAAGGGAGUAGCUGAUUUGAAUCCAGGCACUAAUAUCAAUGCUAGUUGUACAUCUGUGAAUAACUCCACAAGCAACUCUAAUACCAAUAACACCAAUAAUAAUGGUUGUUUAGUAACUUCAUCCUCCUCAUCUACGGGAACCUCUAAUGUUAAACCUCAGCCUGUUUGGUCUCACUCUACAUCUGUUAGUAGCUCAAUUCCUUCAGUUUCAUCGAGUAAUUCAUCGAGCAAAGUAUCUACAUCCCAAACCACAACAACAGGGACAAAUUCAACAAAUACCGUAACCUCAACUACAUCAGCAACAACAUCAAUAACUACUACCACAAACACACCAACUUCUUUAGUAACAACAACGUUGAACACUUCAACAACGAUGACAUCGACAACGUCGUCUUUAUAUUCAGAACUAAAUCAGAAAAGUUCUUCCUCUCGAAUGAAUUCGAGAACCAGCAGUUGCAGCAGUAAUAUCAGUAACAGUAGUAACAGCAGCAGUAGCAGUCCACCUUCUGUUAAUUCAAUCAAUGGUAUCACAACUACAACCAUAUCUGCAGCAUCUUACAGCAUGGCUGCAGCGGUUACCUCAGCACUAACAUCCACAACAGUCACCUUAUCCUCACUUACUUCAAGCCCAUGGAGUCAAUCGAUUGGUUCUUCUAGGAAUCAGAGUAAUUCAUCUAGUUCUCAGACAAGCCAACUAAACACUACCAGCACCGCCACCUCCAAUACCAGCAGCAACAACAGUAGUAGUAACACAAUCACCACCAACAAUAACAAUAACAAUAAUAAUAAUAACCCUUUGAUAAUGAAUGGACCAUCCGUACCUGGGGGCCUUGGUGUUAAAGUACCUUCCCAGUUACAACAAUCACAAUCUCAACAACAGUCAAGCAACACAGGACCUGGGCAAGGUUUAGGAACAACUUCUGCGCCCGUGAACCAAUUAACAUCCAUGUCCUCACUUAAAUCAAUAGCCCAACAAGCUGUUGCUAGUGCAGGUUUGGAGAAUUCUACGAACGAUGCUACUUCUUUAUCUACUUCAAAUCUUUUUGAGACAAGCACAUCCAUGUCAGGAGCUGCCACAAACUCAAUGAACAGUAAUGCCUCAGUUACAUCAACAACAUCAACAGUGAUAGGUUUAUUAAGUGGUAAUAGUAAGUCCCUGGUUAUGCCUUCGUGUGUUUCCUCAACAGUAUCAAAUUUCACCUCCUCUGCGGCAACGUCAGCCGUUAGUCCUGCCAGUUCAAUCGGGAUGCAUCAGUCAGAAGCCCAUAUUCCACCGUUGUUAGGUGUUGCUCCAUUAGGACCUGUACAGCUACCUAAACAAUGUCUAUAUCAGCUUCAUAUGCUUGAGGCUGCUUGUAGACAUACCAUUUAUCCAGUAGAUUCUCAGAGGCUAAGACCAUAUCUGCCUCCGAAUCCAUGUCCGACGCCGUCAUAUUAUCCGCAACAAGCCUUGCAACACAGCGAUUCUGUUGAGUUCUUCCAUCGACUCUCAACUGAGACAUUAUUCUUCAUUUUUUAUUUUAUGGAGGGUACAAAGGCGCAGUACCUGGCAGCUAAAGCUUUGAAAAAGCAGUCAUGGCGUUUCCAUACAAAGUAUAUGAUGUGGUUCCAACGUCACGAGGAACCAAAAACAAUUACAGACGAAUAUGAGCAGGGCACUUAUGUAUACUUUGAUUAUGAAAAGUGGGGCCAACGGAAGAAAGAGCAUUUCACGUUCGAGUACCGGUACUUAGAGGAUCGUGAAUUGAAUUAACGGAUAAUACCAAAAAAAACUACCUUCAAAACACAAAAAAACUUCUAAAAUUGUAAUUGAAACAAAAAACUCCUGAGAGCGCAAUGAAAAAUGGCGAGAGAUAGAUCUAAAGAAGAAAAAACUAACAAAAAGCUUAGUAAAAAGACAAUCAGAGAAAAGGUCUAAUUGGGUUAAUUUGGCAAAUUGGUCUUUGGUUAUUUUGCUCAACAUAUUUGUGUUAUAAAGUUAAACCUGAAAUCUCAGCUCAAAUUACGUUGAUCUCAAAGACACAAAGGCAAACAAAUGAGAGUUACUCUUUAUCAUGAGCGGGAAAUCACGAAACAAAAAAACACUUGCAGAAACAUCAAAGAUUGAAAGAUUCAAAAUUAUCCAGACGAUAACCUCAACUGUUUAAUUGGCUCUUUUUCUUUAUCUUCCAACUCUCUUUCUCUUUCCUCUCUCUUUAUUUUGUCUCCAACCAGUGUUAUGGUUACCAAGCAGAAGCAAUAUUGCGUAUUGUGCUGCCAUCAAUUUGAUUUAACAUGGUGACUAAUGGUGACAUGUUGACCUCUAAUUAACGGUUUUUUUUCAAUUUAUAUCUUACCUAAGUAACCAUUUAGUUGAUCGUUAAAAAUUAACAUCUACAUUUGGAUUCAA